AGCAGCUCAAUAUGAUUCUUAGUGUAUUCAAUCUCAUGUCAAGCCAGAUUAUGCUUCUGGAGGUGCUAGACUUGGUCUCCUCAAGAGAAAGGGUGUAUGUGAGAACCAUUUGAAAUCCCUUGAAGAGCCUUCCCGAGGAGGAUAACAUGUGUGGAAAUCAUUGAGGGAACACUUCUUCAGAAGUGGCUCCCCUCCAAUGAGAGCUUCCAAUGAAAAACCCGAGUACAGCAAGCAUUCUCAGCUUCAACCAAACCAGCCAUCUCCAUGUGCCAAACCUGGUGUCAGUGCUGUGGAGCUGCUUUACAGAACUGGAUAUGCUACAUAGGACCCAAGAAUUCACAUACCUGGAAGGCAGCAAGUCAUGGGUAACAGUCAGGAGUACUGGGGAUUUUCAUCAGCCAGACAGCAUAUGCCAUGUCUUAAGUGACCAGGCCUCCCCAUCCCCAGGUCAUUAUGGCUUCCAGGAAAUAAAGUUAACCACACCAGCAUGGCAGGUGCCUCAGAACAUAACGCUGGAAUGGUAUGACUCCAAUGCAGGUGGCAACUGUUAA
rnacentral:lncRNA from 1 species